GAUAACAUAAUUUAUAUAAAUCAUGACUUUUUUUCAUUCAAACAUAUACUAUAUGGUACAUUUAUAGGUUUUUAAGUUGUUGUUGUAACUACUCGUGUGUAUCUUAAUUAAUUAAUAUUACAUUCUGCAGAGUCUUUCAAAUUUAUUAUUUUUGCUCAAUCAGAAAUUGCAAUCAUGCAAUGCGCCAUAUAUUACUCAUAAAUCAAUUAUUCACAUUAUUCAUUUCGUUUGAGAUUUUCGUAUUUAUUUAUUUAUUUAUGUUUGGUGAACCAACAGCAUAUAAUCUUAAUUCUAAACAAAAACAAUAUAUUACAAGAAGCCAAUCACAGGUUCCAUGACAAUUACAAAUACCAGACCGAGUCUGAAACGGUUCUCCGACAAUUGCUUCGUCUACGAACGUUUCGUCGACAGAAUGUCUUCUAAUUCUGUCAUUCGUAAAACGUUCCAGACCAGUUAAAAAUGAAAUUUAAAAGUAAAAUUGGCUUAUUCAUUAUUAAUAAAUGUAUUUAUUGCGAUUAUGGCUAAUGUAAUAUUGUGCACAUUCGCUAAUGGUACUAUUGUGCAUAAUGGAAACGAAUUAAAGGGCAGAAUUUCCAUUCCGACCAACAACACCGACCAAUUGGUUGCACAUAAUGGAAUUCGAGGAUUUUCUCCGGACCUACCAACGACAUACACUUGAGAAUUUUGGUUCGACUUUUUAGUUUAACAGUAUUUGCUGGGAAAUGAAGAUAGGCGUUUCAAUAAGAAACAAUUAUUUUAAAGCGUUUAUAAUAGUAUCAUUUCAUCACAGGCCCUAAAGACUUGCCAAUUUAAGUCACAAUGUCGACACCGAAUCUUUCUUUGAGCAUCACAACAACAUCUUUCAAAUUGUACAGCCAUUUCGAAUACACAAGGCUCCCUUUUCUAUCAACUUCACUGUAAUAUAAGUUGGAGAUUUCAUCUGGCAUUUCAACUGUACCGGUUCUCAAACUCGAUUUGGGUUUAUUUGAUUGCUGUAACUUAGGAACUACGUCAUCAACUGACGAAAUAAUUAAACCAUCACGGUGUACACUAUAUCCAUUACAAUAAUGUCCUAAGAGCAAACUAAUCGACACUAUUGACAGGCACCAACUCAUCUGAAAAGACAAAAGAAUAGAAUAAAAUCUAUUUAUUUAUUUAUUAAGAAUCGUCACGAAAUGCAAAAUCAUCAAAAUUUAAUUUAAGUUAGUUAGGAAGUUUAAGUACAUAAAAAGGAAAUAAAUAGAUUGAAAGAGAGCAAGCUUUCGUUUUUCAAAUAAUCAAACGCUGGUUGCUUAGAAACAACCUACUUAUGUCGAUUAUAACUCAUGAUCAUCAGAUACAAGGUGAUGUAUUGAAAGCUAAUUAUACUACGUACAUCCAAUAUACAUUAUUUUUUACUUUGAAUUUUUAACUAAUAUUUUUUACUAAGUUUUAUAUGUUAUACAAUAUUUUAAUGUGAUUUAAUCAGUCUUAGAUGCACUAUUAAAAGAUCUAACAUAUCGAGGCGUAACGUAAAUUACGUUAAUCCCAGUUCUAGGACGUUGGUUUUAUCAAUUUGAGAUUUAAGUACAUAAAAAUUAAAAAUUCAAUCAUUCACAUAACGAAUCUAAUUACAAAACAAACAAAAAUAAAAUUGUUAAAAAAACUUUAAAUUGGCGUAAAAUAUUUUUUUAGUAUCGUACCCUCUAUUAAAUGAGUACAAAUAACGUUACCUUCUUAUUAUUUUCUUAAAGCUGGCGAUUUUCUUCAUUCAAAAUACUGACAACAAAGACUCAAAUUUUGAAAGUACAUUAUAUGACACUUGUUCCUUUCUUCCAUACAUAAGCUCUAACGACAGUGUAACAAUCAAAUUGCGGGGAUAGUUUUAUAAUCGUUGUAAUCAGUGAAAUGCAAAAUUGAUCAUUCACGCUGGUUGAUGAAAGACUAAUUGAAAAUUAUAUUGAUUCUUAUUGGAGUCGAUAGGAAAAUGGUAGGUAUCUAAAACAACUUAGUGACAUAGAAAUAAACUAUCACAUCAACUCAAUGUCUGUAAAACAAAACUGCCGUAGUUUUGGUCAUUGUUGUUAUCAUAAUCGUAACAAAAUUAUGAUCUAAGUACAACAUCAUCAAUACAUCGGAAAAUACAUUCAGGAUGUAGGUACUUGUACAAGUAUCAAUAAAAAAUGAAAUCAUCAAAAUGUUCCGGCCGGAGAUUGGUUUAUCAUUCAUCAUCAUGCAAGGUUUUGUAUUUAUUAACACAACUCUAUUCUGUUAUUACUUUAUUUUAAUUAGAAAUAUAAUUAAAUAUAUUAUGUUA